GGGCGGGGACCCUCGGAAGCCAGCUGGGUGGCGAUCGCUUGUCUGCCUUGGCAGGCCCCUUGUGCAGUCUUUUCCCGGCGUGAGCGUGCAGGGAUUGAAAAGGAAUGCUUUAUGGUUCAGCAGAGAGCCACCACGCAGGAUGCACUGGGACCUGAGAACCGUCGGGCAGUCCCACGAGCUCUUUCAUGACCAGCUCCAACCGACAAGUACACGCCCCUUCGCACUCCACUAGCUAGUAAGCUGAGCUACAAGGUGUGCCAGGCACCCAGGACGCCGAUUCACCGCUUCAGAGCCCUCUUUCUUCCAUUCACUUACCUGUCUAGUCAAACACCCAUCAGACCUUUGCCAGGUGUCCAGCCUGGGCACUACGUUUCAGAAAAUGAUGCACAUAGAAUCCCUAACUGAAAGGAGAUCGCAGCUCAUUUGGUACAAAGUGGCUGAUUCUUUGACUGGUGAGCCACUCCCCAGGCAGGCAUAGCAUCACAGAGUUUCUGAGAAGGUACACCCUGGAUGCAAAGCAGUGUUGCUGAAAGACUCCAUGCCAGGGGUAACGGCAGAGUCCCAAAACACAUGAAGCAAGAACUGACAGAACUGGAGGGAGACAUCAAUCAAUAACAACAGUUGGAGAAUUCAAUACCCUGCUCUGAAUAAUGGAUAGAACAAUUAGGCAGAAGACCAACAAAGAAAGAGGAUAUUUGAACAACGUGAUAAGCCAAUUUGACCUAAUAAAUAUCUUUAUCUGUGAAACACCCUAGCUUUUAGCCUGGGUAAGGAGCUGGAGAGAUGUGAAAAUGUGGAAAGCAAGCCUAAGUCGCAGUGUGGCCUAUGCCUGAGAGCCAUCUUCAGUGCCCCCUUGUGGCUGUAUCUGGGAACCACAGACAGAAUCAUGGAACUGACCAUCUUCAGUCUCAAAGUGCUGCCCUCACCACUACACCCAGGGGCAGGUGGUCUUCGGGGGAAAGGCGGUUCCAGUUCCUUCUCCCAAGGUAACAACUCCCAUCCCAAGGCAAUGUUCACAGAACCUAUCAGAGUCCCCCCUGCCCUAUGCACAGCUUAAGACCAGGGUGGUCUCAGCUCUGAUCAGGCCACUGAGGGCAUCUGUCUGAGAUUUGGGACCCAGUUAUUGUCCCUGUUCUUCUUAGGCAGAUGGCGGAGUUCCCCAGUACACAGAAGGUGCUCACUCUUCACAAAAAGCAGUGCUUGAGAAUAACAGCCUACCUUGGUGGAGUAGCUUCGUUAGGGCCAGGGCUUGACUUGAAGCCAGAGACUGAGGUUGCAGUCCAGCCUUGGGUCAGCCUCAGGCUGGGGCUGGGGUGAUGCUGAGACCCUCACCAGAAAAAAGGCCUUUACCCCAUCCGAAAGGAAAUGGCUAUCCUCUGACCUGAGCACUCUAGCCUGAGGCCUGCCUGGCGCUAGAAGCCAGCCUCUGUUGUCCCCUCCCAGCACUCCUCCCACUGCUCUGCCUUUCUGCCCACAUAGAAACUCUGGAGACACCAGCUCCCCACCCUUCCAAGCUAAGCCCCACUGCUGUCUCUGCCUCCUCCAUCUUUCAAACCGGCAAUGUUUUUCCAAUCAGGCCUCCCUAUCCUUCCCCUACUGCUCUGCCCUUCACUGCCUUCCUUUCCUGGCGACUCUCAGCCGCCCUUCAAGGCCCAGCUCAGGCGUUCUUUCCUCAGUGACGCACCCCCGGGCAGGCUGGGGCUUCUGGCACAGCUCUGGCCACCCUGCGUAUCUUCAGCUGUUCCCAAUGUUUGUCUCUGCUCCCAAGUAGCUCUCUCACAGUUUCUGGCACAGAGGAGUUGGCCCUGAGGGGGAUGAACAGCAAGGACAGGCAGGACAGUUCUGGCAGUAAGGAAGUUAGAACAAGGUCCUUUGGUCUCGGCUAGGAAGGGUUCCCAGGUGCUUAGUACUCACUGAACAGAAAGGAAUUAGAAAAGAGGUGGCAUCUUGUAAUCGCUAGGGUGACAGCAGGCCAGGCCUCUGCCUUUUUGGUAGAGCUGAGGCCAGGGGCAGGGAACACAGCUUGAGUGACCCAUAAGGAGCCUUCCAGCUCAGCCACCCAAGGGCCCCCCAGCUGGACAGGAGCCCUUUACCACAUGGUAGGCAUCAUGUCAAGUGGCUCCCAAUGACCCCUGCCCCCUGGCAUCCAUUCCCUGGUGUAAUCCCCUCCCGUCCAGUGGGAGCUGGACCGAGCAAUGUUCAUUUAAUGAACAGAAUAUGGCAAAAGUGACAGGAUAUCACUUCCCAGGUUAGGUUAUAAGGGCCUGGGACUUCCGUCUUGCUCGCACACUUCACUCCACUCACUGGCUCUUCUUGCUAAGUAAGCUGGUGUGCCGUGAGCUACCCCAUGGAAAGGCCCAUGUGGCAAGGAACUGAAAGUGGCCUCUGUCAACAGCCAGUGAGGAAGUCAAUCCUGCGAACAACUGCAGGAACGGCCUUGGGAGUGGAUCCUUCCUCAGCCCGGCUCCAAGACAACUGCAGCCCUGUGAGAAACCCUGAGUGGAGGACCAAGCCAAGCCUCAAAUCGUGACUUGGAACUGGGAGACAACAGAUGCUGUUGGAAGCCACUGAGCUCUGAAGUAGUUUGUUACACAGUGACAGGUAACUUACACACCAUGGCAGGGUCAUGUGG
rnacentral:lncRNA from 1 species